rnacentral:rRNA from 1 species
AGAGUUUGAUCCUGGCUCAGGAUGAACGCUGGCGGCGUGCCUAAUACAUGCAAGUCGAGCGAACGGACGAGAAGCUUGCUUCUCUGAUGUUAGCGGCGGACGGGUGAGUAACACGUGGAUAACCUACCUAUAAGACUGGGAUAACUUCGGGAAACCGGAGCUAAUACCGGAUAAUAUUUUGAACCGCAUGGUUCAAAAGUGAAAGACGGUCUUGCUGUCACUUAUAGAUGGAUCCGCGCUGCAUUAGCUAGUUGGUAAGAUAACGGCUUACCAAGGCAACGAUGCAUAGCCGACCUGAGAGGGUGAUCGGCCACACUGGAACUGAGACACGGUCCAGACUCCUACGGGAGGCAGCAGUAGGGAAUCUUCCGCAAUGGGCGAAAGCCUGACGGAGCAACGCCGCGUGAGUGAUGAAGGUCUUCGGAUCGUAAAACUCUGUUAUUAGGGAAGAACAUAUGUGUAAGUAACUGUGCACAUCUUGACGGUACCUAAUCAGAAAGCCACGGCUAACUACGUGCCAGCAGCCGCGGUAAUACGUAGGUGGCAAGCGUUAUCCGGAAUUAUUGGGCGUAAAGCGCGCGUAGGCGGUUUUUUAAGUCUGAUGUGAAAGCCCACGGCUCAACCGUGGAGGGUCAUUGGAAACUGGAAAACUUGAGUGCAGAAGAGGAAAGUGGAAUUCCAUGUGUAGCGGUGAAAUGCGCAGAGAUAUGGAGGAACACCAGUGGCGAAGGCGACUUUCUGGUCUGUAACUGACGCUGAUGUGCGAAAGCGUGGGGAUCAAACAGGAUUAGAUACCCUGGUAGUCCACGCCGUAAACGAUGAGUGCUAAGUGUUAGGGGGUUUCCGCCCCUUAGUGCUGCAGCUAACGCAUUAAGCACUCCGCCUGGGGAGUACGACCGCAAGGUUGAAACUCAAAGGAAUUGACGGGGACCCGCACAAGCGGUGGAGCAUGUGGUUUAAUUCGAAGCAACGCGAAGAACCUUACCAAAUCUUGACAUCCUUUGACAACUCUAGAGAUAGAGCCUUCCCCUUCGGGGGACAAAGUGACAGGUGGUGCAUGGUUGUCGUCAGCUCGUGUCGUGAGAUGUUGGGUUAAGUCCCGCAACGAGCGCAACCCUUAAGCUUAGUUGCCAUCAUUAAGUUGGGCACUCUAAGUUGACUGCCGGUGACAAACCGGAGGAAGGUGGGGAUGACGUCAAAUCAUCAUGCCCCUUAUGAUUUGGGCUACACACGUGCUACAAUGGACAAUACAAAGGGCAGCGAAACCGCGAGGUCAAGCAAAUCCCAUAAAGUUGUUCUCAGUUCGGAUUGUAGUCUGCAACUCGACUACAUGAAGCUGGAAUCGCUAGUAAUCGUAGAUCAGCAUGCUACGGUGAAUACGUUCCCGGGUCUUGUACACACCGCCCGUCACACCACGAGAGUUUGUAACACCCGAAGCCGGUGGAGUAACCUUUUAGGAGCUAGCCGUCGAAGGUGGGACAAAUGAUUGGGGUGAAGUCGUAACAAGGUAGCCGUAUCGGAAGGUGCGGCUGGAUCACCU